GAUGAACGCUGGCGGCGUGCCUAAUACAUGCAAGUCGAGCGAACGGACGAGAAGCUUGCUUCUCUGAUGUUAGCGGCUGACGGGUGAGUAACACGUGGAUAACCUACCUAUAAUUCUUGGAUAACUUCGGGAAACCGGUUCUAAUACCGGAUAAUAUUUUCAACCGCUUGGUUCAAAAGUGUAUGACGGUCUUGCUGUCUCUUUUAGAUGGUUCCGCGCUGCAUUAGCUAGUUGGUAAGGUAACGGCUUACCAAGGCAACGAUGCGUAGCCGACCUGAGAGGGUGAUCGGCCACACUGGAACUGAGACACGGUCCAGACUCCUACGGGAGGCAGCAGUAGGGAAUAUUGCGCAAUGGGCGAAAGCCUGACGGAGCAACGCCGCGUGAGUGAUGAAGGUCUUCGGAUCGUAAAACUCUGUUAUUAGGGAAGAAAAUAUGUGUAAGUAAAUGUGCACAUCUUGACGGUACCUAAACAGAAAGCAACGGCUAACUACGUG
rnacentral:rRNA from 1 species